rnacentral:lncRNA from 1 species
AAAACAGAAAGAGGCUGAUAAUAGGGAAACUUUCUCAAUAAAUUAAAGGAAACACAUGUAUAUACAUUGAUAGGAAAGCAUUAGAAUAAUUGGACAUUUCUACAAAUAGGAUCCAGAUUUACCACAGUAAUAGAAAUAGAGACGCGGGAUCAUAAUGUAGCAAAGAACAGAAACAUCAAUUUAGAGGAUAAAUAAGGGUGAUUGUAGAGAUGCAAGUCUUGGAUAAUUCAGUUCAGACAGGAGCAAUGGUUCUCUGAAAACACAGUACAGAUAAGUCGGAAUUGGCAAACACAAAGUCUUAUCACGUAACCCGGUGAUACUUGUCGCAGGCAGACGACAUAAGUAAAAUGUCCAAAAAGGGUGGUCACAAUCAUAACAUCUCCAUUUAUUUCAUAGCUCCCAAAGUAGACGAGCCAAUCUUUGCUCAGGGAGAUGAAGUUUCUUUUUCGAAGAAGAGGUCUUGAUUGUGUGAGUUGCAGAUCUGUAAAUCGUGAAGAUAGGUGUUAAUAUAUAUGUGCGUCAAAAAAUAGAAUCUUGAACAGGGAGUUUAGUAUAAUGUGGCUAUUUACCUUUUUGCCUUUUUCUUGUUUGUGCUACUGGGAGCAUUAUUGACAAGUGCAAUUUGGAUCAUCCGGUGUCUGUUGGCUGGCUGGCAGUGGCGUUUUUU